GCGCGACUAGCUCAGCUGGCAGAGCAGGUGACUCUUAAUCACAAGGUCCGGGGUUCGAACCCCCGGUCGCGCA
rnacentral:tRNA from 1 species